GAUGAACGCUGGCGGCGUGCCUAAUACAUGCAAGUCGAGCGAACAGACGAGGAGCUUGCUCCUCUGACGUUAGCGGCGGACGGGUGAGUAACACGUGGAUAACCUACCUAUAAGACUGGGAUAACUUCGGGAAACCGGAGCUAAUACCGGAUAAUAUAUUGAACCGCAUGGUUCAAUAGUGAAAGACGGUUUUGCUGUCACUUAUAGAUGGAUCCGCGCCGCAUUAGCUAGUUGGUAAGGUAACGGCUUACCAAGGCGACGAUGCGUAGCCGACCUGAGAGGGUGAUAGGCCACACGGGAACUGAGACACGGUCCAGACUCCUACGGGAGGCAGCAGUAGGGAAUCUUCCGCAAUGGGCGAAAGCCUGACGGAGCAACGCCGCGUGAGUGAUGAAGGUCUUCGGAUCGUAAAACUCUGUUAUUAGGGAAGAACAAAUGUGUAAGUAACUAUGCACGUCUUGACGGUACCUAAUCAGAAAGCCACGGCUAACUACGUG
rnacentral:rRNA from 1 species